rnacentral:rRNA from 1 species
GAUCAUGGCUCAGAUUGAACGCUGGCGGCAUGCCUCACACAUGCAAGUCGAACGGCAGCACGGGAGCUUGCUCCUGGUGGCGAGUGGCGAACGGGUGAGUAAUGCAUCGGAACGUGCCCUGAAGUGGGGGAUAACGUAGCGAAAGUUACGCUAAUACCGCAUAUUCUGUGAGCAGGAAAGCAGGGGAUCUUCGGACCUUGCGCUUUUGGAGCGGCCGAUGUCGGAUUAGCUAGUUGGUGGGGUAAAGGCCCACCAAGGCGACGAUCCGUAGCGGGUCUGAGAGGAUGAUCCGCCACACUGGAACUGAGACACGGUCCAGACUCCUACGGGAGGCAGCAGUGGGGAAUUUUGGACAAUGGGCGCAAGCCUGAUCCAGCCAUGCCGCGUGAGUGAAGAAGGCCUUCGGGUUGUAAAGCUCUUUCGGUGGGGAAGAAAUUGCUUGGGUUAAUACCCUGAGUAGAUGACGGUACCCGCAUAAGAAGCACCGGCUAACUACGUG